UGGGCCGAUAAAUCAAAAAUGCUACCUCAGGAUCAAGAUGAUACAUAUGUACAAGCUCUUCCAGAGCAGGAAUAAGAACAGCAUAGGCAGCUGUUGGAGUCACUGCACUGGACAAAAAUUCCACAUACUGAAGAAGGGCUCCAUGACACCUAUCAAACUGUUCACUGACCAUUUUAAUAUAUGGGACUUCCGCAUUUAUAACUACCAGGGAACGAUGUUGAGCAAUGAGUAGCAAAAGUGGAAUUGCCAACUUUGGUUCAUCUUUUGGGAGCAAAGCAUCUCUCAGCCUGUUAGUUGAUUUAAUCAAUGCCUUGUUGUUCCGUGUUAUACCAAA
rnacentral:misc_RNA from 1 species